GACCGGCGCACGGGUGAGUAACACGUAUCCAACUGCCGCUUACUCGGGGAUAGCCUUUCGAAAGAAAGAUUAAUACCCGAUGGUAUAAAGAGUUCGCAUGUUCUCUUUAUUAAAGAAUUUCGGUAAGCGAUGGGGAUGCGUUCCAUUAGAUAGUUGGCGGGGUAACGGCCCACCAAGUCUACGAUGGAUAGGGGUUCUGAGAGGAAGGUCCCCCACAUUGGAACUGAGACACGGUCCAAACUCCUACGGGAGGCAGCAGUGAGGAAUAUUGGUCAAUGGACGAGAGUCUGAACCAGCCAAGUAGCGUGAAGGAUGACUGCCCUAUGGGUUGUAAACUUCUUUUAUAAGGGAAUAAAGUGAGGGACGUGUCCCUUUUUGUAUGUACCUUAUGAAUAAGGAUCGGCUAACUCCGUGCCAGCAGCCGCGGUAAUACGGAGGAUCCAAGCGUUAUCCGGAUUUAUUGGGUUUAAAGGGAGCGUAGGUUGACAUAUAAGUCAGCUGUGAAAGUUUACGGCUCAACCGUGAAAUUGCAGUUGAUACUGUAUGUCUUGAGUGUACAAGAGGUGGGCGGAAUUCGUGGUGUAGCGGUGAAAUGCUUAGAUAUCACGAAGAACUCCAAUUGCGAAGGCAGCUCACUGGGGUACAACUGACACUGAGGCUCGAAAGUGUGGGUAUCAAACAGGAUUAGAUACCCUGGUAGUCCACACAGUAAACGAUGAAUACUCGCUGUUUGCGAUAUACAGUAAGCGGCCAAGCGAAAGCAUUAA
rnacentral:rRNA from 1 species